GGCCUCGUAGCUCAGCUGGUAGAGCAUGCGAGCGUAGGCGGUGUCCAUGCGUGGGUUCGAACCCCACCGAGGCUA
rnacentral:tRNA from 1 species